rnacentral:rRNA from 1 species
GACGUAGGUUGCGAGCGUUAUUCGGAUUCACUAGGCGUAAAGCGUGUGUAGGCGGAUGCCUAAGUCUGACGUGAAAUCUCCUGGCUCAACUGGGAGGGGUCGUUAGAUACUGGGCGUCUUGAGUUGGGUAGGGGGAACCGGGAAUUCCAGGUGUAGCGGUGGAAAAUGCGCAGAUAUCUGGAGGAACACCGGCGGCGAAGGCGGGUUCCUGGGCCUUAACUGACGCUGAGACACGAAAGCUAGGGGAGC